rnacentral:rRNA from 1 species
UACGGGGGGAGCAAGCGUUGUUCGGAUUUACUGGGCGUAAAGGGCGGGUAGGCGGCCACCGCAAGUCAGUUGUGAAAUCUCUGGGCUUAACCCAGAAAGGUCAACUGAUACUGCGGGGCUAGAGUGCAGAAGGGGCAACUGGAAUUCUCAGUGUAGAGGUGAAAUUCGUAGAUAUUCGGAAGAACACCAGUGGCGAAGGCGACUCACUGGACACGUAUUGACGCUGAGGUGCGAAAGCGUGGGGAGCAAACAGG